rnacentral:lncRNA from 1 species
GAUUGACCUUGAAACAACAACGAUUAAUUACUCUUGCUAUAAAACAAGCUCGUAUUUUAUCUUUGUUACCUUUUCUCAAUAAUGAGAAACAAUUUGAAAGAACCGAGUCGACCGCUAGAACUACUGGUUUUAAAGCCCGAAAUAAAUAGGCUUACUUUUUCUUCACUUGAAUCAUAAUUACAAGAAUCUAGAUUUGAGUGAAUCUAGAUUUGAGUAUCGUGUCCUAAGAAAAAAAUGAAUCGGAAAAAAAGAAAUCUGUUUUUAUUGAAUUGAACGUGUUCAUUCAUUUUGACUACUUUAGUAUAUUUUCUCAUACUAAUUUCUACUCUACCUUCCCGGAGUUCAUUCUCCGGGUAACUCCAUUUAAAUUAUUCUGGUGGAUUCUUUCCAAUCUACUUCCUUUAUGAUUUCGUUCGAAAUCAUAUAAAGACAAUUCCUAUUUGAUAUAGCUAUUUGUGCAAGUAUUUUACGGUUAAGAAGCAACUGUCUCUUGUACAGAUCGUGUAUUAAUCUACUAUAACUAUAGGAUACUCCCCUUUCGCGAAUUACUGCGUUUAUCCUAGUGAUCCACAAACGACGAAAAUCUCUCUUUUUCCUAUCCCUAUCCCGAUGAGCCGAAACUAAAGCUCUUAUUUUCUGUUGAGUAAUAGUUCUAGUAAGCCUUGAAUGAGCCCCUCGAAAGCUUGAUGCAAAUAAACGAAUUUUUGUUCUACGUCUCCGAGCUAUAUAUCCCCGUUUAAUUCUGGUCAUUGAAUAAAUGAAACUUUGACGAAUAACUAAUUGAUUGCCUUUCUUUCAGUUAUUCUUUUCCCCCUUCCUAGUCUAUUAAUAACAAAACGGAUUUUUCCAAUGUAUAAAAUCAAAAUUCCAAUGGCUUUGGCUACUCUAACCUUCCCGACCACGAUUUUUUUUAGGUAUUUCACUGCGAAAUAAGACAGAACUAAGAAAUUGUAUUUUCCUAGGUAUCAAAAAUAUAGUAAAUAAAAGAAAUAAAAAAAGAAAUAGUGGGUUCCUUCGUUUCUAUGGUUACUUCUUAAACGGUGAGGUCUUCUCUAUACACCGGAGCCUUUACUUUAUACUUUAAUUUUUAAUAUUUAAUCAACUAAUUGAUGUUAUUGGGAACUUGUAUAGUUCACACGCUUUGGCUCUACCCAUGAAUUGUCCAGUAAUAGGUCUUUCACAAUCAGAUCUACCUAUACAGUAACGGUAUUUAAUUAUGAAAGUUUGCUGGGUAGCUGACCCUCUUAGUCCGUUCUUGCCAGAUUGGGAGCCUACCUAAUCUUUAUGUUUUAUGCUUUUUAAAUAAGAUUUCCUCCGCUUAAUGGAUAACCAUUUGUUACCAAUGGAGAAUUUCUUAUCAUCUUAAAUUCAGGUGAUUGGAUUUACACCAACGGAAACCAUAAACUUCAUACACAAUAGAGGGAUAUGGUAGAGUUUUUUUUUUAUAAUGGAUGGAGUUCCUUUUUCCAUCCUAUCCCAUUCACCGGUACUGAUCAUUGAUACUGUAAAAGUAGUUUUCUUGCUUUUUGUGCCAGCUCAUGAUCUAAACGAGUCGCACAUACACCCUAGUACAUGUUCCUCGACGCUGAGGGCACCCCCGAAGAGCGGGGGAUUUCGUGACAUUUCUGAUUGGCUGUCUUGUAUUUCUAAUAAGUUGUUUAAUAGUUGGCAUGUUGAAUCGUAUACAUAAUAUGAUGGGUUGGUUUAGAUUGAUCCUAACCGAAUGAUGGUGAAUUACUUCUAUUUAAUAGAAUAUUCAAUUCGAAGAUAAAAUCUCAAAUCAUAGAUCUGCGUGAAAUCCAUGUUCUUUUCCUUGAACCGCUACAAAAUCAACAAUUCCAUAAGCUUGGGCUUCUGUUGCUGACAUAAAAAUAUCUCUUUCCAUAUCUUCGUGUAUAACCCACACGGGUUGGCCCGUUUUUUCUGCAUAAACCCUUGUGAGGGUUUCACGCAGUUUCGCCAUUUCUAUCGCUUCCAGGACAAAUUCGCCUACUUGUGCCAUAUAAAAACCACUAUAAGGUUCAUGUAUCAUUACCCUGAUGAUAUAACAAAAUAAAAGCUUCCCCUAUCUCGCAUGAUAAAGCAAAGAAAAAAGAAAGAUAAAGAAUAGAAAAAAGAUAGAAUUGAACAACCGUACAGGCAUCUUUUGUGCAUACGGCUCUACAAGAAAAUUGACCCCCAUUGAAGAAAGAGAAAAAUAGAAUCUAUCAGACUCAGAUGGGUAAAUAAUCAAAUUGCCAUCCUUCCUUUCGGAGGAAUUCAAAAAUACUAUGAUGGCUCCGUUGCUUUAUAUGUUUAUUUUUUCUUUUUUUUGUCUGUGAUUCAGCAAUCCCAAAGUUUCUUUUUAAUCCGAUCAAAUAAGGAAAAAUUAUUUUUUUUUCGUACUCUUUCAUAACAUAAAUAUUGUUAAGAACUCUCCGGCAUGAAAACAAAAAGUUUGUGACGCUGAACUGAACUCCCGAUAUAUAAUAGAAAAUCGGAAAUACCCCUUAUCUCAUAC